UUGGGCACUCUAAGGUGACUGCCGGUGACAAACCGGAGGAAGGUGGGGAUGACGUCAAAUCAUCAUGCCCCUUAUGACCUGGGCUACACACGUGCUACAAUGGAUGGUACAUUGGGCAGCGAAGCCGUGAGGUGGAGCCAAUCCCAUAAAGCCAUUCUCAGUUCGGAUUGCAGGCUGCAACUCGCCUGCAUGAAGCCGGAAUUGCUAGUAAUCGCGGAUCAGCAUGCCGCGGUGAAUACGUUCCCGGG
rnacentral:rRNA from 1 species